UUUCCGUAGGUGAACCUGCGGAAGGAUCAUUAACGAGUUAGGGUCCUCCGGGGCCCGACCUCCCACCCUUUGUUGUCGCGAAUUCGUUGCCUCGGCGGGACGGCCGCCGCGGGACCACACACAACUCUUGUCUUUGACCGUACAGUCCGAGCAAAUUUGAAUUAAUAAAUCAAAACUUUCAACAACGGAUCUCUUGGUUCUGGCAUCGAUGAAGAACGCAGC
rnacentral:misc_RNA from 1 species